GGCAGCGAUGGCGGGAGGUAUCGCGGCCGGUUGCUGAUCGGCUAUGGCCACUGUUGAGUUCGGGAUCUGAUCUUGUUCUUGCUG
rnacentral:tRNA from 1 species